CAUAACUUAAAAUUCUGUAUUGUCGGUGCAGGCUUAGAGGUAGAAUUCCAGAUUCGCAGGCUAAGCUAACACUAGGACUGGUAUAAAAUGCACCUAGACAAUACCGAAUAGCACUGUUCUGUAUUGAGUCCAACCGCGCUAGAGUACUUUUUGAAGCAGAAGAGUAUGCUUCACAACCAUAAUCUAUCUUUGAUCUUAUGAGUGCUUUGUACAUUCGUAACAAAAUUUCUGUUUCAGCACCCCAUUUGGAGUUGGCUAACACUCUGAAAAUACUGAGGGCUGUCUUACAACGUGUAGGUAAUUAAAUUAUCGAUAUGCAUCUUCCAGGUUAGUGCAGAGUCCAGCAGCACACCAAGAAAUGUACCAGUUGGUUUGCACUCAAUAUACCUGUCCUGUAAGAGGAGCAUUGGGCCGUCAUGUGGUUUUCUUAAUCGACAAAAGUGCAUACAGUAAGAUUUAUCGACUGAUAAUUUAAAGCCACAUUUAUGUGAGUUUAAUACGAUACUGUCAAUCGCCUGUUGCAUUUUUCUAUUAAUUUCCCCCAUACUCGGUCCUGAAUACACAAGCGUUAGGUCAUCGACGUAUAGAUAUGUGCUUACAUCGUCAGAAAUGGAGGCAGUAAUGGAGUUGAUUGCGAUAGCAAAUAAUACCACACUUAAGGUAGAACCUUGCGGUAUUCCAUUUUCUAACGUUCUGGACGUAGAAAGCGUAUUACCUACUCUAACACGAAAUUGUCGAUCUUGUAGAAAGGAGGAGAUAAGUUUCGGUAGGUUUCCUUUCAAACCCCAACGUCUGCAACCCUCCGUGUCUCCACGUCAUGUCAAAUGCCUUUUCAACAUCAAAGAAGACUGCAACUGCGUGAUGUCUAUGGGAGAAGGUUUCAAGUAUCUUAUUUUGUAGGUGUACUAGAUGAUCAGCGGUUGAUCUGUGUCUUCUGUAUCCUGCCUGGCAGCUUGUAAAGCGUUCCUCUUUUUCAAGCAGCCACAUUAAUCGAUAGCUUACCAUGCGCUCAAACACUUUAGCUAUGCAUGAAGUUAAGCUGAUCGGUCGGUAACUUGAGGCCAGGUACGGAUUUUUUGCACUUUUUAAAAUAGGGAUCACGAUCGCUUCCUUCCAGCAGGUUAGAUAUACGCCUCGGUGGAGUAGGGUCUUAUAUACCGUAUAGAGGUUCCUUAACAUCUCGUAAGUUAUAAGAUCUGGCCCAGGAGAGGAAGAUUUAUUGCACGUGAGUGCCGUUUCGAGCUCAAUCAUUGUAAAAGAGUGAUUAUAGUCGAAGUCUUCCAAGUGUGUGAAGUUGAGGUCUACUUCGUUCCUAGCUUUAUGUGCUAAGAAUCGUGGCUCAUAAUUUUCCGUACUGCUAGCUUUUUGAAAUUGGUCUGCUAGAAGCUCAGCAGUUUGCUCUGGUUGACUUGUCACUUGGUUAUUAUUAAUUUGCAGUUGUAUUGUAAUAGCAUUCUUUCCCGAUACUGCUUUAAUCUUUUGCCAUACUUGUUUAGUAGGAGUUUGGUGGGUAAUUGUUGACGUAUAGUUAUUCCAAGUUGCUCUUUUACUUUGAAGAAUCGUUCUACGGGCAUUUGCUCUUGCCUUUUUAAAAACUAUAAGGUGUUCAUUUGUGGGAUAUCUAUGAAAUGUAUUUAUUAAAUGCUUUCUUUUUGGCUUUGACUGCCUCGCUGACAUCCCGAUUCCACUAGGGUACUCGAUGUUUGACGGGGGUCCCGCUUGUUUUUGGUAUGGCAAGAUUAGCCGCAUUAUAGAUGGCAGAUGUAAUUUCUUUUAAGCCACGUGGAAGUGUAUUUUGUGAUACACCUAGCUCCAAUUGAUAUCUGUAUAGAUCCCAACGAGCUUCCGAAAUCUUCCACCGUAUCGGACGUGUUGCAGGUGCCUCUCGUGUGUGCGUUUCGAUAUCAAUUGGAAAAUGGUCGCUGUGAUGAAGAUCAUCUAAUAUCCUCCAGGAGAAUAGUGUUGCAACGCGUGGAGAAGCUAUGGUAAGAUCGAUCACCGAAAAAGUUCCGGAUCGCGCACAGGUCUCGUCCUCUAGCAUCUGUAUGAGAUGAGUCCCAUAGGGAAUUAUGGGAAUUAAAAUCACCCAUUAGCAGAUACGAGACUGGCAUUUGAUCUAUAAGAUUCUGCAGUUCAUGCUGCUGCCAAUUUCUAUCAGGGGAGCCAUUAUUUCAAUUGCUACAGCUUGUAAAUUUGUUUGCAAUGGUAGUGGUUUGAACUGUACGUCAUCUUUUACUAUGAUCGCAACUCCACUCUUUGAUCUGAGAUUAGGAAUCAUAUCUUUCCUUACGAUUUUGUACCCGCGUAACCUAUAUGGCUGACCAGGUCUAAAUCUUUAAUUUUAUUUAACUUACAUUUCUGAGAAUUUUAUUUCACUUUUAUUCUGUUAUCAUUGU